GCUUUUGGUUCUUCAAGAAAAGCCAGUGAGAAGUGAUGCAGCAUUAAUAAUUAAUAAAAGUAGCGUAGUUGUCUGUCAUGUCAGUGGUUGUAUUUCUUUUAUUUUUAGCCAGCGACACGUGAAGCUAAUGUUCCUAAGGGACAACACAGAAAUACAAAAUGAGAUUAACGUUUUACUGUCGUUUGUGUUUGUCCGCAAUAACGGUUUAAUGUAAUGAAAUUUACUUUUAGGAGGAGCUACAGAGGUUAGUCUUCAUUUUUAUCACACUUUUUUUUGUGAUCAUAACGUUUCUGUCUGCGAUGGAGAACAAACUGGCAGGUAGAUUUAAUAACUUGCUCAAAGGAGACAAAUAAAACGAAGACAUAAUGAUUAAUUUUUUGAUUAAUAUGCGAUUAAUUUCCUUUUGCAUCAAACCCUCCAAAGCAGUCACUCAAAUCGUGCUACUGUCGUGCUGCAACUUUAAAGGGAAUUUUAAACAGCUUAUUUUCCCUGGAAAAACGUCAUUGUUCCUACUGAAACAAUAGAAGCUGCAGGCAACCGCAGUGAGGCGGCAUGAAUGGAGAAGCUCCGGGUCAAUGCAUUGGGUCUCAGGCCCCAAAGCCCCCUUUUCCCUGUGCACCACAAUGACCCUGCGCGAGGUCGAGGCUCCGCGGGGUCACAGGGCAAUCACCUAUUGUUACGCACUUCAAAACAGAUAAACAUUUAUUAAUCUAGGUUGGCCAAAGGGCCCUGUUUCUCAGAGAAAAUCUGGUAAAGUUGUACCUACGAGUGCUAUGAGCCAGUAGGACUUCUGAUGUUGUAGGCUAUAUGAAUAAGACGUAUAUGUUAGAAAUAAACGGAGCCAAUGAUCAUCUUUUCCUGGAUGAAUGGACCUCAAAUAUUCGCUCUCAAGUCUUCAAGCAUCAUCUUUUGUGUUCUGCAGAAGAAAGAAAGUCCUAUACGUUUGGAACGACGUGAGGCUUUGGGUCUGUGGCAAGGCUAGCUAGAUUCCCAUGGCACAGAGAGCAGCUGCCUGAGUUUCAGGGCUCUGGAUAAAACUGUUUCUCUUCCAUGCCGAGAGAACGUAAUGACAGUAGGCCCCUUUGGGCCUGCCAGCCAUCUGCAGGUCCAGGUCCUGGUUAAGCAUGACCACGUGCAGGAGAAAAGACUUCUUGCUACCUCUCAGCUGAUUAGUGGAGCCGGUUGAUUGGUGCAAAUGAGGAAGCUUUCAUCCUCCUUGAGUAUAAUCUGCUUGCAUCUUUAUUGGCUAAAAGCAGGCGUGAUGCUGGUAUGACCCAGGCUGGCCCAGGUACUGUCCUCAAAAAGGGUAGUGACACUAAUGUCUUCUGACACACACAUCCCCCAAUGCCCUUCCUGUUACACACACAGAUACACUGCAGAAAAAAAUCUCCAAAGCUUAUGCAUGCACUUUUCAACUACACUACUUUUGUGAAAAAUAUAUUUAAAAAUAUACACCAUAUUAAAAUGCACAAUC